AUUGAACGCUGGCGGCAUGCCUUACACAUGCAAGUCGAACGGUAACGCGGGGCAACCUGGCGACGAGUGGCGAACGGGUGAGUAAUGCAUCGGAACGUGCCCAGUAGUGGGGGAUAGCCCGGCGAAAGCCGGAUUAAUACCGCAUACGACCUACGGGUGAAAGCGGGGGAUCGCAAGACCUCGCGCUAUUGGAGCGGCCGAUGUCAGAUUAGGUUGUUGGUGGGGUAAAAGCCUACCAAGCCGACGAUCUGUAGCUGGUCUGAGAGGACGACCAGCCACACUGGGACUGAGACACGGCCCAGACUCCUACGGGAGGCAGCAGUGGGGAAUUUUGGACAAUGGGGGCAACCCUGAUCCAGCCAUGCCGCGUGCGGGAAGAAGGCCUCGGUGUAACGCUUUGUCAGGAGAACGACUUGAGCUAAUACCUCGAGGUAAUGACGGUACCUGAAGAAUAAGCACCGGCUAACUACGUG
rnacentral:rRNA from 1 species